CCUACGGGGGGCAGCAGUGGGGAAUAUUUCUCAAUGGGCGAAAGCCUGACGCAGCGACGCCGCGUGGGUGAUGAAGGCCUUCGGGUUGUAAAGCCCUGUCGUGUGGAACGAACGAUCUGGCGGCGAAUAACCGCCGGGUGUGACGGUACCACCGAAGGAAGCCCCGGCUAACUACGUGCCAGCAGCCGCGGUAAGACGUAGGGGGCGAGCGUUGUUCAGAUGUGCGUGGCGGAAAACGCGCGUAGGCUGCGAAAUCCCUCGGCUUAACCGAGGUCCCGCAUCCGAGACUGUCGGGCUCGAGUCUAGGAGAGGAAAGCGGAAUUCCCAGUGUAGCGGUGAAAUGCGUAGAUAUUGGGAGGAACACCGGUGGCGAAGGCGGCUUUCCGGACUAGUACUGACGCUGAGGCGCGAAAGCUAGGGGAGCGAACGGGAUUAGAUACCCUGGUAGUC
rnacentral:rRNA from 1 species